AAUAUUCUAAAAAUAAUUGAUCGAAAAUAAAAAUCACAGACGAAAUAAAAAAAAUACAACUUACUGGCACCAGAUCACAGAUUCAUAGUACUGAAACGUCUUGAUUAAUAGAUCGACAAAAUCAAUUAUAAAUUACAGAAACUAGAACAGAACGAGAUCAGGGGUAGAGAGAGAAGAAGGGACAUAAGAGUCUCGUCUUCGUUGGUCGCAGGGUUAGAGAUAGGAUUUUGGAAGGACUGGUACAGUAGCUAGUGUAAAGCCAAGACAAAGAGAGGAUUUAGAG
rnacentral:lncRNA from 1 species